ensembl:lncRNA
UUUCUUGGAAAGCUGACCUAUGUGGUCUACCAUUUUUGUGGUUUCUGAGAUCAUUCUUUUUUCCAGAGUGUGUGUAUCUAUCUUUUGCUUCUUUCAUUCCUUUUCUUCUGUGUCAUUUUACUCUUUUAUUGUUGUACAAGUAUCAUGAUGGCUUUUUCUGCUUAUUAUUUUGGUCUUUGCAUGGGACCAAUUCUGUCUGCCAAGAAGAGUAUGAAUAAGUCGUCCUUGAACGCCUCCUUUUUUAAGUGAAACACAUUUGCUCACCUGAGCCCUGAAAUUGGCAGAGACAGUCUUUGUUUUCCAUUCUGCUCUCUGGACGCGGGGGAAGGAGGAGGGAAGCAAAGCCUCCCGGAGUGCCUUCGUGGACACUGUUGAAUGCUCUGCCCUUGGGCUGACUGGGUCCCACUUGGGGAGAGGGGUCCCCUCGCGUUUCCCUAUCUCCACUAGAGGUCGCCCCCACAAGUUCAGAGGGUCUGUGCCUCUGCUCUGCCAGAUUACGUGUAGUCAGUGUUUGUGUGUUUAGCUCCCACGUUACUGUUGGUCUCCUCUUCACACAGAUGGGCACAUGAGAUGUUAACCUCCCCUCCUAGGUUUGCUUGGGGAAACGUGCUCUCGGCUUGUCCUGACCACCACCAGGCUUUGUUUCUCCAAGUUCAGAGAUAAUUAGUCAAGUCCCUUGAAACCCUCUCAGCGACUGCCCAGCAACUGUGGGCUGCUUGACAGAUUGAAGAAGGCUUCUCUGAUGAGUCCCUAGCUUAGUUGUCAGAGGCUUCCCUGGAGUCCUUGGUAUGGCGUGGUGGCUUUUAUUAGUUUCCCCAUAGACAGCUUCCUUUUCAGCUUUUGGAUGUGUGUGUUGAAGGGCAGGAGCACGUAUAUAAACAUGGACUUACUCUGCCAUCUUCCCAGCAGUCCAGGUGCUUAAACAUUGACUUUGACGAUAAUGUCCUUCCCAACCAUAAGCUAUAUGUUAGUCGGCAGAUGGAAGCCAUGCCGCUAGCAGGAAGGCACCAUUAAUAACUUCAUCAAUACCGGCUGUUUGUUUAUUCUUUGUAAAAAGAUAGCUUUUACCUUGAGUUCCUGGUCCAUCAGUUAGAGAGAUCAGUACCUUCUGGCUUGAAAACAAGAGGGCAGGUGACGUUUUAAUGAACUUCAAAAGUGACUAGCCAUUGACAGAUUUAUUAAUUCAUUAAAUAUGAUAGAAUAUUUCAAACUAGCAGAUAAUCAGUUGUUAUCAAGAGAAGUUUAAACUGUUCUUGUUUCUUUUUUUUUUUUUUU